rnacentral:rRNA from 1 species
AGAGUUUGAUUAUGGCUCAGGAUGAACGCUAGCGGCAGGCUUAACACAUGCAAGUCGAGGGGCAACGCGAGUAGCAAUACUUGGCGGCGACCGGCGCAAGGGUGCGUAACGCGUGAGCAACAUGCCCGUAUCAGGGGGAUAAUCCAGGGAAACUUGGUCUAAUACCCCAUAGUAAUUUUGUAAGGCAUCUUAUAAGAUUUAAAGCUUUGGUGGAUACGGAUUGGCUCGCGUGACAUUAGCUGGAUGGUAAGGUAACGGCUUACCAUGGCUAUGAUGUCUAGGGGUUCUGAGAGGAAGGUCCCCCACACUGGAACUGAGACACGGUCCAGACUCCUACGGGAGGCAGCAGUGAGGAAUAUUGGACAAUGGAUGGAAAUCUGAUCCAGCCAUGCCGCGUGAAGGAAGAAGGUCCUAUGGAUUGUAAACUUCUUUUGUAUGGGAGCAAUAAGGCCUACGAGUAGGUUGAUGAGAGUACCAUACGAAUAAGCACCGGCUAACUCCGUGCCAGCCGCCGC